rnacentral:rRNA from 1 species
AUUGAACGCUGGCGGCAGGCCUAACACAUGCAAGUCGAACGGUAGCACAGAGGAGCUUGCUCCUUGGGUGACGGGUGGCGGACGGGUGAGUAAUGUCUGGGAAACUGCCCGAUGGAGGGGGAUAACUACUGGAAACGGUAGCUAAUACCGCAUAACGUCGCAAGACCAAAGAGGGGGACCUUCGGGCCUCUUGCCAUCGGAUUUGCCCAGAUGGGAUUUGCUAGUAGGUGGGGUAACGGCUCACCUAGGCGACGAUCCCUAGCUGGUCUGAGAGGAUGACCAGCCACACUGGAACUGGGACACGGUCCAGGCUCCUACGGGAGGCAGCAGUGGGGAAAAUUGCACAAUGGGCGCAAGCCUGAUGCAGCCAUGCCGCGUGUAUGAAGAGGGCCUUCGGGUUGUAAAGUACUUUCAGCGAGGAGGAAGGCGUUGUGGUUAAUAACCGCAGCGAUUGACGUUACUCGCAGAAGAAGCACCGGCUAACUCCGUGCCAGCCGCCGCCGUAA